rnacentral:rRNA from 1 species
CCUACGGGUGGCAGCAGUGGGGAAUAUUGGACAAUGGGGGAAACCCUGAUCCAGCGACGCCGCGUGAGUGAAGAAGUAUUUCGGUACGUAAAGCUCUAUCAGCAGGAAAGAAAAUGACGGUACCUGACUAAGAAGCCCCGGCUAACUACGUGCCAGCAGCCGCGGUAAUACGUAUGGGGCAAGCGUUAUCCGGAUUUACUGGGUGUAAAGGGAGCGCAGGCGGCCUGCCAAGUCUGGUGUGAAAACCCGGGGCCCAACCCCGGGCCUGCAUUGGAAACUGGCGGGCUGGAGUGUAGGAGGGGCAGGCGGAAUGCCUGGUGUAGCGGUGAAAUGCGUAGAUAUUAGGAGGAACACCGGUGGCGAAGGCGGCCUGCUGGACGAUGACUGACGCUGAGGCUCGAAAGCGUGGGGAGCAAACAGGAUUAGAUACCCGAGUAGUC